GAUGAACGCUGGCGGCGUGCCUAAUACAUGCAAGUCGAACGCGCAGCGAGAGGUGCUUGCACCUUUCAAGCGAGUGGCGAACGGGUGAGUAACACGUGGAUAACCUGCCUCAAGGCUGGGGAUAACAUUUGGAAACAGAUGCUAAUACCGAAUAAAACUUAGUAUCGCAUGAUAUAAAGUUAAAAGGCGCUACGGCGUAACCUAGAGAUGGAUCCGCGGUGCAUUAGUGAGUUGGUGGGGUAAAGGCUUACCAAGACAAUGAUGCAUAGCCGAGUUGAGAGACUGAUCGGCCACAUUGGGACUGAGACACGGCCCAAACUCCUACGGGAGGCUGCAGUAGGGAAUCUUCCACAAUGGGCGCAAGCCUGAUGGAGCAACGCCGCGUGUGUGAUGAAGGCUUUCGGGUCGUAAAGCACUGUUGUAUGGGAAGAUAUGCUAAAAUAGGGAAUGAUUUUAGUUUGACGGUACCAUACCAGAAAGGGACGGCUAAAUACGUGCCAGCAGCCGCGGUAAAAC
rnacentral:rRNA from 1 species